UGGAAAAUAAAAUUUGAGAUUAUCAGUCUCGACAGUGAGUUAAAAUCAUAUAAUCCAAAAAUAAAUACAACCAUCUUAAUCAAAUAUUUAUUUAAUAAGAAUAAAAUAUUAUAUCAUGUUAAAACACGUGUCAUGCCAUGAUUCAGAAUAAUACAAUUUAAACGUUAUGAGACGAGUACCUCAACAGAACCCUAAUCUCAAUAUUAGCAGUCUUUCGGCUCUCUUAUUCCAAUAGGACUGGCGUCCAGAGAGCGAAGCUUAACCAGGGUCCUUAAAUCCAGUCCGGUCACUUGAUUCCCAAUAAAGCCGACGCCUAAAGAGCAACGCUCGAUCAGGGACCUUUCUUUUGGCAGUCAAAUUCUCACAUCCUAGAGAGUUGUACUCAAUCAGGGCAAAUCUCAAAAAUAAUCUUUUACUAUUUAUCUCUCACAAAUAUCGGUACGCACACGGUCCUGAUGCAACCCAUCAGGUGGCAUGUUUUACUGCUGCCUCAUUCUGAAAUUACAAUCAUAGCAUCAAUAAUAAUUGAAAAUAACGUAAAUCACAAGCAAACAUAAAUUAUUCAAUAACAUAUUAGAAAUUAGAGUUGAAUAGCUUCGAAUAUAGCAAAUAUGAAAAUUAUAAGUGAUAAUAAUAAUAAUAAUAUAAUAAUAAAUAUGAUAGCAAUAAUAAUAAUAAUAAUAAUAAUAUUAUUAUUAUUAUUAUUGAUAAUAACGAAAAUAAAAUUAAUAAUAAUGAUGCUAAUAAUAUUUGUAAUAAUUAUUAAUCAAAUAAAAUUAAUAAUAAUAAAUAUCAAUAAUAAUCAUAACAAUUAUUAAUCAAUUAACAUUGCAUUUAAUUUAGACAUGACAUAAAUGUAAUUGAUUAUAAGACUUUAACACACAAUUCUGCGGCGCUCCGCAGUCUACUCUUACUCCUCAUAUGGAGUCAGCUGGACUAACAGAUUAUCUAUUCACGAAAAUAACUUAAUCAUAAUUUUUCAUAGGCAUGGACUCUUAGAUUAGACUGCCUAAGAAAUUUCGAAAUUCUACAAAAAAUUUAGCAGAACCUCUCAUCAAAUAUGAACAUUUACCCCCUCCCCCCUAAAAAAGAGUCCAAAACCUGCUAAAAACGCUUUAAUAUUCAUUGCAUAUUUAUCAGGAGUCGGGUCACCCAUAACUGUAUUAUUUUUCCGACUCCGUAACACACAUUAUAUCACAAUUAAUAACAGAUAGUCCGUCAUUAAUAUUUAUUCCACAACCAACUCACAAAUAAUUUUAUAGUAUCUAAUUAAUUAUUUACAACCGCAAUUAUCAUAAAAUCGAUUAACAAUUAAUUACACUAAUUUAUAAUAUUUAUAAUUAAACUAUCAAUUAAUUAAAUUAAAUUAAUUAAUUAUUUAUAAUUAAUAAUUAAUGGAGUUAUUAAUUUCUAAUAAUUUAUAAAUAAUUUUUAAGGUUGAAAUGGAUUUUACCGAGCUAAAAUUCUAAGAUUCUAUGAGUCUGGAAACAUCCGAGUCCGAAAACCGGUUCAGUCAACAGUAUCGAAAUUCGAAUUCAGAAGUGCCAUCGCGCGAAGCUUGAGAUGCGCAGAGACCACAUAUAUAAAUAUCUUUGCUGGAAUCUCACCGGAAGCCGAAAAGCUUCAGCUCCGGUGAGUCUUGGAUAGAGCUUCCUGCGACGAAAAAAUAGAGGGAAGGGUUGCUCUUAAGGUUUCCGGUGGUUGGGAGUCCGUUUCCGAAGUCAUAUUUUCAAAAUAAGGUCGGCAAGAGGUUGUUCUAGAGGUGGCAACCGAAGAUUGAUGCCUCCUACUGCUGCUGCUGCGUUUUCCAGCGAUAGGGAAGGGAGAAUGGCAGUGUCGACUGGAGGGAAAGGAAAGGAAGGGGGGAGGACUGGUGGCUGUGGUGGUGAAGGAAGAAACUGGUGGUGGGAAAGUGUAUGCAGCGGAGAAAGGAGAAGAAGAUGGGGGGGGAGGGGCAGGCUGCAUAUGUCCCAAACUACUUUUUUUUUUUUUUCUUUCUCUUCUUUUUAUAAAUUUUUUUUCUAUUCCCC
rnacentral:lncRNA from 1 species